rnacentral:lncRNA from 1 species
UAUAAAAACAACUUUGACCUUACACUGGAGACAUGCUUCAAAAGAUUAAUUAUUCAUAUGAUCAAAAUUGCUCGAAAACAACUACUUGAAAAUAUUCUCAGAAAAAAAAAGGGUAGAUUGUUCUGAGGCAAUAACAUAAUUUUGAUACAACAAACCUGACUGCUAUUUUUUAAAAAAUUCCUGAGGCUUUUUCUUUUUUCCACAGUCACAACUUCAGCAUAAUUCUUGAGUUCAUUUUAUUAUUAUUUUGCAAAUGCCUGCUGAGCUCCUGGAAUACAGAGAAGACCACCUUGAUCACUUAGAGAAUGGGUUCCAAGAAGCUGCAUCAUCAAGCUAAGCUUCAGUCUAUUAUGAUUGCGAAGAAGCAACCCAGAGUGAAGUUGUCAAAUGAUGGUUGAUGUUGGUCAAUCAGAUCUGCGAGAGAAAAAAAGAUCUUCAAGGGAAGAAAAUGUUUAAGAGAAAAAAAAUCAAGUUUCCAGAUUGUACCACAACCAUUGUUUACAAAAGGAGCAACAAACUUCCAUGAUCAAAUGAUUUUCUUGUCUGUCCUGGCAAAUGCAUAAUGUGGUAGGAGUUAAAACUAAGAAUAUAGAAGGUUGAGACAAAGACACUGAGC